UGCCAGCAGCCGCGGUAAUACGUAAGGAGCGAACGUUAUCCGGAUUUACUGGGUAUAAAGUGCGCGUAGGCGGUUACUUAAGUUAGGUGUUAAAUCCUUUAGCUCAACUAAAGUCUGCAUCUAAAACUGGGUAACUAGAGAGUAGUAGAGGAAAGCGGAACUCACAGUGUAGCGGUGAAAUGCAUAGAUAUUGUGAGGAACACCGGUUGCGAAGGCGGCUUUCUGGCCUAUUUCUGACGCUGAGGUGCGAAAGCGUGGGGAGCGAACGGGAUUAGAUA
rnacentral:rRNA from 1 species